AGCGGCGGACGGGUGAGUAACACGUGGGCAACCUGCCUAUAAGACUGGGAUAACUUCNGGAAACCGGAGCUAAUACCGGAUACGUUCUUUUCUCGCAUGANAGAAGAUGGAAAGACGGUUUACGCUGUCACUUAUAGAUGGGCCCGCGGCGCAUUAGCUAGUUGGUGAGGUAAUGGCUCACCAAGGCGACGAUGCGUAGCCGACCUGAGAGGGUGAUCGGCCACNCUGGGACUGAGACACGGCCCAGACUCCUACGGGAGGCAGCAGUAGGGAAUCUUCCGCANUGGACGAAAGUCUGACGGAGCANCGCCGCGUGAANGAAGAAGGCCUUCGGGUCGUAAAGUUCUGUUGUUAGGGAAGAACAAGUACCAGANUAACUGCUGGUNCCUUGACGGUACCUAACCAGAAAGCCACGGCUAACUACGUGCCAGCAGCCGCGGUAAUACGUAGGUGGCAAGCGUUGUCCGGAAUUAUUGGGCGUAAAGCGCGCGCAGGUGGUUCCUUAAGUCUGAUGUGAAAGCCCNCGGCUCAACCGUGGAGGGUCAUUGGAAACUGGGGAACUUGAGUGCAGAAGAGGAAAGUGNAAUUCCAAGUGUAGCGGUGANAUGCGUAGAGAUUUGGAGGAACACCAGUGGCGAAGGCGACUUUCUGGUCUGUAACUGACACUGAGGCGC
rnacentral:rRNA from 1 species